UACGUAGGUGGCAAGCGUUGUCCGGAUUUACUGGGCGUAAAGAGCGCGCAGGCGGUCGUGCAAGUCGCGUGUGAAAGCCCCCGGCUCAACUGGGGAGGGUCACGCGAUACUGCUCGACUCGAAGGCAGGAGAGGGUAGUGGAAUUCCCGGUGUAGUGGUGAAAUGCGUAGAUAUCGGGAGGAACACCGGUGGCGAAGGCGGAUCUCUGGGCCAUUACUGACGCUGAGGAGCGAAAGCGUGGGGAGCGAACAGG
rnacentral:rRNA from 1 species